UCGAGGAUCUUCGUCAAUGGGCGAAAGCCUGAACGAGCGACGCCGCGUGCGGGAUGAAGGCCCUUGGGUUGUAAACCGCUGUCAGGGGGGAUGAAACCGUAAGGUUGACAGAGCCCCAGAGGAAGCACGGGCUAAGUUCGUGCCAGCAGCCGCGGUAAUACGAACUGUGCGAACGUUACUCGGAAUCACUGGGCUUACAGGGUGCGUAGGUGGCUUGAUAAGCAGGGUGUGAAAUCCCUCGGCUCAACCGAGGAACUGCGCUCUGAACUGUCGAGCUAGAGUAUGCUAGAGGUGAAUGGAACAUCCAGUGGAGCGGUGAAAUGUGUUGAUAUUGGAUGGAACACCAGAGGCGAAGGCGAUUCACUGGGGCAUAACUGACACUGAGGCACGAAAGCCAGGGGAGCAAACGGGAUUAGAUACCCUGGUAGUCCCUG
rnacentral:rRNA from 1 species